UACGAAGGGUCCAAGCGUUAUCCGGAUUUAUUGGGUUUAAAGGGUGCGUAGGCGGCUUAUUAAGUCAGUGGUGAAAGCCUGCAGCUUAACUGCAGAACUGCCAUUGAUACUGAUGAGCUUGAGUAUAGUUGAGGUGGGCGGAAUGUGUCAUGUAGCGGUGAAAUGCUUAGAUAUGACACAGAACACCGAUUGCGAAGGCAGCUCGCUAAACUAUAACUGACGCUGAGGCACGAAAGCGUGGGGAGCGAACAGG
rnacentral:rRNA from 1 species